rnacentral:rRNA from 1 species
ACGGAGCUGAAGUCAGUCGAAGAUACCAGCUGGCUGCAACUGUUUAUUAAAAACACAGCACUGUGCAAACACGAAAGUGGACGUAUACGGUGUGACGCCUGCCCGGUGCCGGAAGGUUAAUUGAUGGGGUCAGCGCAAGCGAAGCUCCUGAUCGAAGCCCCGGUAAACGGCGGCCGUAACUAUAACGGUCCUAAGGUAGCGAAAUUCCUUGUCGGGUAAGUUCCGACCUGCACGAAUGGCGUAAUGAUGGCCAGGCUGUCUCCACCCGAGACUCAGUGAAAUUGAACUCGCUGUGAAGAUGCAGUGUACCCGCGGCAAGACGGAAAGACCCCGUGAACCUUUACUAUAGCUUGACACUGAACAUUGAGCCUUGAUGUGUAGGAUAGGUGGGAGGCUUUGAAGCGUGGACGCCAGUCUGCGUGGAGCCGACCUUGAAAUACCACCCUUUAAUGUUUGAUGUUCUAACGUGGACCCGUAAUCCGGGUUGCGGACAGUGUCUGGUGGGUAGUUUGACUGGGGCGGUCUCCUCCUAAAGAGUAACGGAGGAGCACGAAGGUUGGCUAAUCCUGGUCGGACAUCAGGAGGUUAGUGCAAUGGCAUAAGCCAGCUUGACUGCGAGCGUGACGGCGCGAGCAGGUGCGAAAGCAGGUCAUAGUGAUCCGGUGGUUCUGAAUGGAAGGGCCAUCGCUCAACGGAUAAAAGGUACUCCGGGGAUAACAGGCUGAUACCGCCCAAGAGUUCAUAUCGACGGCGGUGUUUGGCACCUCGAUGUCGGCUCAUCACAUCCUGGGGCUGAAGUAGGUCCCAAGGGUAUGGCUGUUCGCCAUUUAAAGUGGUACGCGAGCUGGGUUUAGAACGUCGUGAGACAGUUCGGUCCCUAUCUGCCGUGGGCGCUGGAAGACUGAGGGGGGCUGCUCCUAGUACGAGAGGACCGGAGUGGACGCAUCACUGGUGUUCGGGUUGUCAUGCCAAUGGCACUGCCCGGUAGCUAAAUGCGGAAAAGAUAAGUGCUGAAAGCAUCUAAGCACGAAACUUGCCCCGAGAUGAGUCUUCCCUGAGACUUUGAGUCUCCUGAAGGAACGUUAAAGACGAUGACGUUGAUAGGCCGGGUGUGUAAGCGCAGCGAUGCGUUGAGCUAACCGGUACUAAUGAACCGUGAGGCUUAACCUUACAACGCCGAAG